AUACGUAGGGGGCGAGCGUUAUCCGGAAUUAUUGGGCGUAAAGAGUACGUAGGUGGUCUGUUAAGCGUGAGGUGAAAGCCCGUGGCUCAACUACGGCGAGCCUUUCGAACUGGCAGACUUGAGUGCAGGAGGGGAAAGUGGAAUUCCUGGUGUAGCGGUGGAAUGCGUAGAUAUCAGGAGGAACACCGGUGGCGAAGGCGACUUUCUGGACUGUAACUGACACUGAGGUACGAAAGCGUGGGGAGCAAACAGGAUUAGAUACCCUGGUAGUCCACGCUGUAAACGAUGAGCACUAGAUGUCUGGGCAGAAAUGUUCAGGUGUCGAAGUUAACGCAUUAAGUGCUCCGCCUGGGGAGUACGCACGCAAGUGUGAAACUCAAAGGAAUUGACGGGG
rnacentral:rRNA from 1 species